CCUACGGGAGGCAGCAGUGAGGAAUAUUGGUCAAUGGCCGGAAGGCUGAACCAGCCAUGCCGCGUGAAGGUCAGUGCCCUAUGGGCGUUAAACUUCUUUUGUGCGGGAGCAAUAAUGGUCACGUGUGGCCAGACGAGAGUACCGUACGAAUAAGCAUCGGCUAACUCCGUGCCAGCAGCCGCGGUAAUACGGGGGAUGCAAGCGUUAUCCGGAUUGAUUGGGGUUAAAGGGUGCGUAGGCUGUGAGGUAAGUCAGCGGUGAAAUGCCCCCGGUCAAGGGGGUGAAGUGCAUUUGAUACUGGCUUGCUUGAGUGCGGAAGCGGUAGGAGGAAUGUGUGGUGUAGCGGUGAAAUGCAUAGAUAUCACGCAGAACACCGAUUGCGAAGGCAUCUCACGGAUCCGCGAUUGACGCUGAUGCACGAAAGCGUGGGUAUCAAACAGGAUUAGAUACCUCUGUAGUC
rnacentral:rRNA from 1 species